UACGUAGGGUGCAAGCGUUGUCCGGAAUCAUUGGGCGUAAAGAGCGUGUAGGCGGCCCGGUAAGUCCGCUGUGAAAGUCGGGGGCUCAACCCUCGAAUGCCGGUGGAUACUGUCGGGCUAGAGUGCGGAAGAGGCGAGUGGAAUUCCUGGUGUAGCGGUGAAAUGCGCAGAUAUCAGGAGGAACACCGAUUGCGGAGGCAGCUCGCUGGGACGUAACUGACGCUGAGACGCGAAAGCGUGGGGAGCAAACAGG
rnacentral:rRNA from 1 species